rnacentral:rRNA from 1 species
GUGAGGAAUAUUGGGCAAUGGGCGCAAGCCUGACCCAGCAACGCCGCGUGGAGGAAUGAAGGCCUUCGGGUUGUAAACUCCUUUUACGGGGGAAGAGGAAGGACGGUACCCCGAGAAUAAGUCACGGCUAACUACGUGCCAGCAGCCGCGGUAAUACGUAGGUGACGAGCGUUAUCCGGAAUUACUGGGCGUAAAGCGCACGCAGGCGGCUUGCUAAGUCUGACGUGAAAUCUCUCGGCUUAACCGGGAGGGGUCGUUGGAGACUGGCGGGCUUGAGGCGAUGAGAGGGGUGUAGAAUUCCCGGUGUAGUGGUGGAAUGCGUAGAUAUCGGGAGGAAUACCAGUGGCGAAAGCGACACCCUGGCAUUAGCCUGACGCUCAGGUGCGAAAGCGUGGGGAGCGAACGGGAUUAGAAACCCUAGUAGUCC